ensembl:ncRNA K03B8.18 ncRNA
UUUGCUGGAAAAUUUAAAAAGUAGGUCCUGGCCGGGUUCGAACCGGCGACCUUCUGCGUGUGAAGCAGACGUGAUAACCACUACACCACAGGACCACACGUUUUGACGUUUUGGCAGCAGUUAAAAAAGUUUGUUUGC